rnacentral:lncRNA from 1 species
UUCAUUUUCUUAUGAGACUUAGGUUUCGUCGUCUACCAUUCUUACAGCUUUCUCUUACCUUGAUGGUUCUUUUUUCCUCAGCACGGUGUGGAUUUCUCUAUUUUAGACCGUGUGGAGGUAUAUUAGUUUUUUUAUUUUUGGUGUUUUGUUGCUCUGUUUUGAGCCUUUUGUAAGUGGUGCUUGAAAUAGUGAGAGAGAUGUAAUGGUGUCUGUAUUUUCUUUGAGAGUUUGGGUUGCAAAUCGAUGAUUGUCAGUGUUAAAAGAGGCGGCACGGCUGACGAAAAUUCAUUGGGUUGAAACCAAAAAGAGAAAUGGCCACAUGAAAGGCACAAGUGGAAUGUUGAGAGCUCUCCUUUCUUCUUUAUGUGUCGGUUGCCUGAUGAAAUUUCUUUUGCUCCCUCUUUAAACCUUAGUCACGUGACUAUUAAAAGAGAGUAAUUGUGUCUUUUGGUUAGAGUUUGAGGUCUGUUUGCUACACACAAGGUUUCAAAUGUGCAAGACCUUUUUUGUUGGUGCUUUCUGAGUGUUAAUGGUCACUCUUCGAUCGAUCUAGUGGGUUUUUUCCUUGGUAGAUCUCGUGCAUUCUUGAUAAGUCAACACUUUCUCUAUCUACUUCACUGGUCAUGCUUCUUUCCGAUCAAAAGACCCACUAUCUAGUUAGGGUUUCUCGUAUGUAGGAUUGGACCUUGUUUGUAAGAGCUGAGGUGGUGGAUUAUUUGAAAUACUUGUAUCAUACUUUAUGGGCUCUGUAUGUUUUUUUAGCUCCCUAAUGAAUAUUAUAUUUUGAGAAAAAAAA